rnacentral:sRNA from 1 species
ACUCAUUUCUAUUAUUGUACUCUGCAUUUGUAUAGUCUCUAAUGAUUCUUCUGUGUAAUUUCUUCUAUCUCAUGUUUCAUACUUAUGUAGGUGGGCUGCAAAGUCCGACUCUGCCAUCUUCUCAUGAUGCAGCCUGGUAACAUCAUCUAGUGAUGAUGGCCAAGAGCAGAGCAGUUGUUAUGAGUGUCUGAUUCUCAGUGAACUCAGCAUUCAUUGGCCUUCAGGUCUUGAUCUUUGCUCUCUGUGAGCAAUCACCCUGUCUCUGCUCUCUGUCGCUGCUCCCUGUGAGCAAUCACUCUGCUGCUGCUCGCUACGAGCAAUCGCUCUGCUGCUGCUCCCUGCGAGCAAUCACCCUGCCUCCACCCUGCCUCCACCCUGCCUCCGCCCUGCCUCUGCUCUCUGUGAGCAAUCACUCUGCUGCUGCUCCCUGCGAGCAAUCAUUCUGCUGCUGCUUGCUCCAAGCAAUCACCCUGCUGCUGCUCCCUGCGAGCAAUGUCCUGCUGCUGCUCCUUGCGAGCAAUCGCCCUGCCAUAGGACUUGUUUGCUUUGAUUAUCUCUAUCAUGAAUGGCCAUACAUCAGGCCAGAAGUGGAUGUACAGUCUAUAUAGACUGAGUCCUCUCAAGAGUUGCUAUCUGGAUCCUGUGUCUAUCAUUACUGUGUAUAUAGAGAUUUCUCCAGUGUAGCAUGUCCCCAUGCCCUUUGGGAGGCUUUUGAAGUGCAGGCAUUGCCUGUGUCUUCUCUGGGACAUUAAAUCAAUACAUAUAUACAUACAUCCACUGUGGAGUGGCUUCUGAUAUUCUUCCACUCUGAACUUCCCUCUAUAAGAAUUCUCUUUGUACAAUCUUUUCUUCUGAUCUCUUUUCUCUUUCUUUUCUUAAUCAAUUCAAAAUCUGCAUAUGGGAUGGUGCUAGAUUGUUAAUCGAAGUACACCUGUUACAAUUGCUGAUUUCUUUUGUAGUUUUACCAUCAAAAGACUUCAGAGCCACUAUCACAGCACAGAUUGAGAUAUCUGUAUUACAAGCCAUAUUGAAAUAAAAGAGA